rnacentral:rRNA from 1 species
CAGUCGAGCGAGCUUGCCUAGAUGAUUUUAGUGCUUGCACUAAAUGAAACUAGAUACAAGCGAGCGGCGGACGGGUGAGUAACACGUGGGUAACCUGCCCAAGAGACUGGGAUAACACCUGGAAACAGAUGCUAAUACCGGAUAACAACACUAGACGCAUGUCUAGAGUUUGAAAGAUGGUUCUGCUAUCACUCUUGGAUGGACCUGCGGUGCAUUAGCUAGUUGGUAAGGUAACGGCUUACCAAGGCAAUGAUGCAUAGCCGAGUUGAGAGACUGAUCGGCCACAUUGGGACUGAGACACGGCCCAAACUCCUACGGGAGGCAGCAGUAGGGAAUCUUCCACAAUGGACGAAAGUCUGAUGGAGCAACGCCGCGUGAGUGAAGAAGGGUUUCGGCUCGUAAAGCUCUGUUGGUAGUGAAGAAAGAUAGAGGUAGUAACUGGCCUUUAUUUGACGGUAAUUACUUAGAAAGUCACGGCUAACUACGUGCCAGCAGCCGCGGUAAUACGCAGGUGGCAAGCGUUGUCCGGAUUUAUUGGGCGUAAAGCGAGUGCAGGCGGUUCAAUAAGUCUGAUGUGAAAGCCUUCGGCUCAACCGGAGAAUUGCAUCAGAAACUGUUGAACUUGAGUGCAGAAGAGGAGAGUGGAACUCCAUGUGUAGCGGUGGAAUGCGUAGAUAUAUGGAAGAACACCAGUGGCGAAGGCGGCUCUCUGGUCUGCAACUGACGCUGAGGCUCGAAAGCAUGGGUAGCGAACAGGAUUAGAUACCCUGGUAGUCCAUG